rnacentral:rRNA from 1 species
AUGAGCCUGGCUACCAUAUGGAGCAUGUAUGAAGAGGAGACAAAACAAAGGCUACAAGAAAAUGUGUUGAGUGCUGAACAGAACUUGAAGAUCAUGGAAGAGAAGACAAAAAUGGAGAAUGAGCUGAGACAUUUCAAGCUUGAUUUUGCCAAGAUGGUGGCUGAAAAGGAGCAGGCAAUGAGUCAAUUAGGCAACACACAAAUUGCUCUGGCUGAUCUAAAGGAAGAGCUUGAAAAGAAAAAGAGCACUGACAAAUCUGUAACAAACAUUUAUCAGGUAUUCAGGGCUAAGGCAGAGAAAGAGAGGGAGCAAGUCAUACAGGAGAGGGAUCAAUUGAAGCAAGAGAAGAGAAAGCUUGAGUACAUGAUAGUGACUUAUUCAAACACAAAGAGGAGACCAAGGAGAAGAUAA